AUUGAACGCUGGCGGCAUGCCUUACACAUGCAAGUCGAACGGCAGCACGGGAGCAAUCCUGGUGGCGAGUGGCGAACGGGUGAGUAAUAUAUCGGAACGUGCCCAGUCGUGGGGGAUAACGCAGCGAAAGCUGUGCUAAUACCGCAUACGAUCUAAGGAUGAAAGCGGGGGAUCGCAAGACCUCGCGCGAUUGGAGCGGCCGAUAUCAGAUUAGCUAGUUGGUGGGGGAAAGGCCCACCAAGGCGACGAUCUGUAGCUGGUCUGAGAGGACGACCAGCCACACUGGAACUGAGACACGGUCCAGACUCCUACGGGAGGCAGCAGUGGAGAAUUUUGGACAAUGGGCGCAAGCCUGAUCCAGCAAUGCCGCGUGCAGGAUGAAGGCCUUCGGGUUGUAAACUGCUUUUGUACGGAACGAAACGGCCCUUUCUAAUACAGGGGGCUAAUGACGGUACCGUAAGAAUAAGCACCGGCUAACUACGUGCCAGCCGCCGCCGUAACAC
rnacentral:rRNA from 1 species